rnacentral:tRNA from 1 species
CGGGCUGUAGCGCAGCUUGGUAGCGCGCCUGACUGGGGGUCAGGAGGUCGGCGGUUCGAGUCCGCCCAGCCCGA